GUCCUGUCUCUCCCUGGCUCUUUCUGCAUCUGAACCUUUUCUCUGAGCUGUUGAGGAGAAAAGGCUGGGUGGGAGUGAGCAGGGGAGAAGACGAC